rnacentral:rRNA from 1 species
UCCGGUUGAUCCAGCCGGACCCCACUGCUAUCGGGAUAGGACUAAGGCAUGCUAGUUAGCGUCUUUUAGCCACGGUUAAGACGCAGCGAACGGCUCAGUAACACGUGGCCAACCUGCCCUUGGGACGGAGAUAACCCCGGGAAACUGGGGACAACAACCGAUAGGUGAGAAGGCCUGGAACGGUUUCUCGCCCAAAAGACGCCGGAACCAUGCUUCCAGCAUCGCCCAAGGAUGGGGCUGCGACCGAUCAGGUAGUUGGUGAGGUAAUGGCUCACCAAGCCUAUAACCGGUACGGGCCGUGAAAGCGGGAGCCCGGAGAUGGGUACUGAGACAAGGACCCAGGCCCUACGGGGCGCAGCAGCUACGAAAACUCUGCAAUGCGCGAAAGCGCGACAGGGCUAUCCCGAGUGCUGUCCGCUGAGGAUGGCUUUUCUCUGGUGUAAUGAGCCGGAGGAAUAAGGGGAGGGCAAGUCUGGUGUCAGCCGCCGCGGUAAUACCAGCUCCCCGAGUGGUGAGGACUUUUAUUUGGCCUAAAGCGUCCGUAGCUGGUUCAGCAAGUCUCUUGUUAAAUCCAACGAUUCAAUCGUUGGGCUGCGGGAGAUACUGCAGGACUAGGAGGCGGAAGAAGCCGACGGUACUCAUGGGGUAGGGGUAAAAUCCUAUAAUCCCAUGAGGACCACCAGUGGCGAAGGCGGUCGGCUAGAACGCGCUCGACGGUGAGGGACGAAAGCUGGGGGAGCGAUCCGGAUUAGAUACCCGGGUAGUCCCAGCUGUAAACGAUGCAGGCUAGGUGUUAUCGUGACUACGAGUCACGAUAGUGCCGCAGGGAAGCCGUUAAGCCUGCCGCCUGGGAAGUACGGUCGCAAGACUGAAACUUAAAGGAAUUGGCGGGGGAGCACCACAAGGGGUGAAGCUUGCGGUUCAAAUGGAUUCAACGCCGG